GGAUGUGAGGGCGAUCUGGCUGCGAUGUCUGUCACCCCAUUGAUCGCCAGGGUUGAUUCGGCUGAUCUGGCUGGCCAGGCGGGUGUCCCCUUCCUCCCUCACUGCUCCAUGUGCGUCCCUCCCGAAGCUGCGCGCUCGGUCGAAGAGGACGACCAUCCCCGAUAGAGGAGGACCGGGGUCUUCGGUCAAGGGUAUAGGAGUAGCUGCACUCCCCUGCUAGAACCUCCAAACAAGCUCUCAAGAAUUUUUGUUUUUGUUUGUUUGUUUUUGCUAAUUAUCACAUUCCAUACUCUCAGAACAAAGCUUG
ensembl:misc_RNA 7SK 7SK RNA